CUACGGAGGAUCCGAGCGUUAUCCGGAUUUAUUGGGUUUAAAGGGUGCGUAGGUGGUUUGAUAAGUCAGCGGUGAAAGUUUGCAGCUUAACUGUAAAAAUGCCGUUGAAACUGUCGGACUUGAGUGUAAAUGAGGUAGGCGGAAUGCGUGGUGUAGCGGUGAAAUGCAUAGAUAUCACGCAGAACUCCGAUUGCGAAGGCAGCUUACUAAGCUACAACUGACACUGAAGCACGAAAGCGUGGGGAUCAAACAGGAUUAGAUACCCUGGUAGUCCACGCAGUAAACGAUGAUUACUAGCUGUUUGCGAUACACAGUAAGCGGCACAGCGAAAGCGUUAAGUAAUCCACCUGGGGAGUACGCCGGCAACGGUGAAACUCAAAGGAAUUGACGGGG
rnacentral:rRNA from 1 species